rnacentral:tRNA from 1 species
GCCGGCAUAGCUCAAUUGGCAGAGCAGCUGUCUUGUAAACAGCAGGUUUGGGGUUCGAGUCCCCUUGCCGGCU